UACGGGGGGGGUAAGCGUUGUUCGGAAUUACUGGGCGUAAAGGGCUCGUAGGCGGCCAACUAAGUCAUACGUGAAAUCCCUCAGCUUAACUGGGGAACUGCGUGUGAUACUGGAUGGCUUGGAUUUGGGAGAGGGAUGCGGAAUUCCAGGUGUAGCGGUGAAAUGCGUAGAUAUCUGGAGGAACACCGGUGGCGAAGGCGGCCUGCUGGGCGGCGACUGACGCUGAGGCGCGACAGCGUGGGGAGCAAACAGG
rnacentral:rRNA from 1 species